rnacentral:rRNA from 1 species
AGCGUACACGGUGGAUGCCCUGGCAGUCAGAGGCGAUGAAGGACGUGCUAAUCUGCGAUAAGCGUCGGUGAGGUGAUAUGAACCGUUAUAACCGGCGAUUUCCGAAUGGGGAAACCCAGUGUGUUUCGACACACUAUCAUUAACUGAAUCCAUAGGUUAAUGAGGCGAACCGGGGGAACUGAAACAUCUAAGUACCCCGAGGAAAAGAAAUCAACCGAGAUUCCCCCAGUAGCGGCGAGCGAACGGGGAGGAGCCCAGAGCCUGAAUCAGUGUGUGUGUUAGUGGAAGCGUCUGGAAAGGCGUGCGAUACAGGGUGACAGCCCCGUACACAAAAAUGCACAUAUUGUGAGCUCGAUGAGUAGGGCGGGACACGUGGUAUCCUGUCUGAAUAUGGGGGGACCAUCCUCCAAGGCUAAAUACUCCUGACUGACCGAUAGUGAACCAGUACCGUGAGGGAAAGGCGAAAAGAACCCCGGCGAGGGGAGUGAAAGAACCCCGGCGAGGGGAGUGAAAAAGAACCUGAAACCGUGUACGUACAAGCAGUGGGAGCCUCUUAAUGGGGUGACUGCGUACCUUUUGUAUAAUGGGUCAGCGACUUAUAUUCUGUAGCAAGGUUAACCGAAUAGGGGAGCCGAAGGGAAACCGAGUCUUAACUGGGCGUUAAGUUGCAGGGUAUAGACCCGAAACCCGGUGAUCUAGCCAUGGGCAGGUUGAAGGUUGGGUAACACUAACUGGAGGACCGAACCGACUAAUGUUGAAAAAUUAGCGGAUGACUUGUGGCUGGGGGUGAAAGGCCAAUCAAACCGGGAGAUAGCUGGUUCUCCCCGAAAGCUAUUUAGGUAGCGCCUCGUGAAUUCAUCUCCGGGGGUAGAGCACUGUUUCGGCAAGGGGGUCAUCCCGACUUACCAACCCGAUGCAAACUGCGAAUACCGGAGAAUGUUAUCACGGGAGACACACGGCGGGUGCUAACGUCCGUCGUGAAGAGGGAAACAACCCAGACCGCCAGCUAAGGUCCCAAAGUCAUGGUUAAGUGGGAAACGAUGUGGGAAGGCCCAGACAGCCAGGAUGUUGGCUUAGAAGCAGCCAUCAUUUAAAGAAAGCGUAAUAGCUCACUGGUCGAGUCGGCCUGCGCGGAAGAUGUAACGGGGCUAAACCAUGCACCGAAGCUGCGGCAGCGACACUAUGUGUUGUUGGGUAGGGGAGCGUUCUGUAAGCCUGUGAAGGUGGCCUGUGAGGGUUGCUGGAGGUAUCAGAAGUGCGAAUGCUGACAUAAGUAACGAUAAAGCGGGUGAAAAGCCCGCUCGCCGGAAGACCAAGGGUUCCUGUCCAACGUUAAUCGGGGCAGGGUGAGUCGACCCCUAAGGCGAGGCCGAAAGGCGUAGUCGAUGGGAAACAGGUUAAUAUUCCUGUACUUGGUGUUACUGCGAAGGGGGGACGGAGAAGGCUAUGUUGGCCGGGCGACGGUUGUCCCGGUUUAAGCGUGUAGGCUGGUUUUCCAGGCAAAUCCGGAAAACCAAGGCUGAGGCGUGAUGACGAGGCACUACGGUGCUGAAGCGACAAAUGCCCUGCUUCCAGGAAAAGCCUCUAAGCAUCAGGUAACAUCAAAUCGUACCCCAAACCGACACAGGUGGUCAGGUAGAGAAUACCAAGGCGCUUGAGAGAACUCGGGUGAAGGAACUAGGCAAAAUGGUGCCGUAACUUCGGGAGAAGGCACGCUGAUAUGUAGGUGAAGCGACUUGCUCGUGGAGCUGAAAUCAGUCGAAGAUACCAGCUGGCUGCAACUGUUUAUUAAAAACACAGCACUGUGCAAACACGAAAGUGGACGUAUACGGUGUGACGCCUGCCCGGUGCCGGAAGGUUAAUUGAUGGGGUUAGCGGCAACGCGAAGCUCUUGAUCGAAGCCCCGGUAAACGGCGGCCGUAACUAUAACGGUCCUAAGGUAGCGAAAUUCCUUGUCGGGUAAGUUCCGACCUGCACGAAUGGCGUAAUGAUGGCCAGGCUGUCUCCACCCGAGACUCAGUGAAAUUGAACUCGCUGUGAAGAUGCAGUGUACCCGCGGCAAGACGGAAAGACCCCGUGAACCUUUACUAUAGCUUGACACUGAACAUUGAGCCUUGAUGUGUAGGAUAGGUGGGAGGCUUUGAAGUGUGGACGCCACGGGAGGCUUUGAAGUGUGGACGCCAGUCUGCAUGGAGCCGACCUUGAAAUACCACCCUUUAAUGUUUGAUGUUCUAACGUUGGCCCGUAAUCCGGGUUGCGGACAGUGUCUGGUGGGUAGUUUGACUGGGGCGGUCUCCUCCUAAAGAGUAACGGAGGAGCACGAAGGUUGGCUAAUCCUGGUCGGACAUCAGGAGGUUAGUGCAAUGGCAUAAGCCAGCUUGACUGCGAGCGUGACGGCGCGAGCAGGUGCGAAAGCAGGUCAUAGUGAUCCGGUGGUUCUGAAUGGAAGGGCCAUCGCUCAACGGAUAAAAGGUACUCCGGGGAUAACAGGCUGAUACCGCCCAAGAGUUCAUAUCGACGGCGGUGUUUGGCACCUCGAUGUCGGCUCAUCACAUCCUGGGGCUGAAGUAGGUCCCAAGGGUAUGGCUGUUCGCCAUUUAAAGUGGUACGCGAGCUGGGUUUAGAACGUCGUGAGACAGUUCGGUCCCUAUCUGCCGUGGGCGCUGGAGAACUGAGGGGGGCUGCUCCUAGUACGAGAGGACCGGAGUGGACGCAUCACUGGUGUUCGGGUUGUCAUGCCAAUGGCACUGCCCGGUAGCUAAAUGCGGAAGAGAUAAGUGCUGAAAGCAUCUAAGCACGAAACUUGCCCCGAGAUGAGUUCU